CAGUAGCCGCGGUAAUACGUAGGUGGCAAGCGUUGUCCCGAAUUAUUGGGCGUAAAGGGCUCGUAGGCGGAUUUUUAAGUCAGGGGUGAAAUCCCGAGGCUCAACCUCGGAACUGCCUUUGAUACUGGAGAUCUUGAGUUCGGAAGAGGUUGGUGGAACAGCUAGUGUAGAGGUGAAAUUCGUAGAUAUUAGCUAGAACACCAGUGGCGAAGGCGGCCAACUGGUCCGAUACUGACGCUGAGGUGCGAAAGCGUGGGGAGCAAACAGGAUUAGAUACCCCCGUAGUCCCUGUCUCUUAUAC
rnacentral:rRNA from 1 species